UCGAGAAUCUUCGUCAAUGGACGAAAGUCUGAACGAGCGAUGCCGCGUGCGGGAGGAAGGUCUUCGGAUUGUAAACCGCUGUCAGUAAUUUUGGAAAUGCUAGGGGGUAAUCCUCUUAGUUUGACCUGGUUUCAGAGGAAGGACGGGCUAAGUUCGUGCCAGCAGCCGCGGUAAUACGAACCGUCCCAACGUUAUUCGGAAUCACUGGGCUUACAGGGUGCGUAGGCUGUUGUUUAAGUCGGAUGUGAAAUCCCUCGGCUCAACCGAGGAACUGCAUUCGAUACUGUAUGACUUGAGGAAGAUAGGGGUGAGCGGAACUGAGAGUGGAGCGGUGAAAUGCGUUGAUACUCUCAGGAACACCGGUGGCGAAAGCGGCUCACUGGAUCUUUUCUGACGCUGAGGCACGAAAGCUAGGGUAGCGAACG
rnacentral:rRNA from 1 species